rnacentral:tRNA from 1 species
GCGGAUGUGGCGGAAUUGGCAGACGCGCUAGACUUAGGAUCUAGUGGGUGACCGUGGGGGUUCGAGUCCCUUCAUCCGCA